AGCGCGAGUUUCUAAGCCUUUUAAUGAACUGCUUAAGGACUUGAAGAGUCUUUGAUGGGCCAGAAGAAAGGAAAUUUAUCACUUUUGACAGUGAAGCAGCCAAAAAUGAUGAAUAUUUCCUGGUUGGGAGGAUGAUUGCCACUUCUGUCGUUCAUGGAGGUCCAGGUCCUCAAUUCUUAUCUGAGAAGCUCUACCAGCACCUCACAGGAACAUCAACAAAUACAGAAGGAAAGAUAGAAGACAUCACCGACAACACCAUGAGGGCUUCUUUGAUUGAGAUAUCCAGUGCAGGUACAUUGACUGAACUACACCAGUCAGUUGAAAGACAUGCAAGCAUCUUGCAAACUGCUGGUUGCUUGCAGUUCCCUGUGACUGUUGAUAACAA